rnacentral:rRNA from 1 species
GUGAGGAAUAUUGGACAAUGGGCGCAAGCCUGAUCCAGCCAUGCCGCGUGCAGGAAGACGCAUCUAUGGUGUGUAAACUGCUUUUGUACGGGAAGAAACACUCCCUCGUGAGGGAGCUUGACGGUACCGUAAGAAUAAGGAUCGGCUAACUCCGUGCCAGCAGCCGCGGUAAUACGGAGGAUCCAAGCGCUAUUCGGAAUCAUUGGGUUUAAAGGGUCCGUAGGCGGUUUAAUAAGUCAGUGGUGAAAGCCCAUCGCUCAACGAUGGAACGGCCAUUGAUACUAUUAGACUUGAAUUACAAGGAAGUAACUAGAAUAUGUAGUGUAGCGGUGAAAUGCUUAGAUAUUACAUGGAAUACCAAUUGCGAAGGCAGGUUACUACUUGUGGAUUGACGCUGAUGGACGAAAGCGUGGGGAGCGAACAGGAUUAGAUACCCGAGUAGUCC